UGCAUGGUCCAGUAUAGGUUUAGUAAGCGUUUUAUCGCGUAUUUGGGUUAUUUAACAAAAAAUAUGGUUAAGAGGUGUAGUCACGGACUUUGUAAUAGUGACGACAGGUAUCCUGAAAGGCUAGUUGGUGGAGUUCGAUUCGUACCCUUUCCAAAACCGAAGACCCAGUACGAAAAAUGCCUUCAAUGGAUCAAACUUUGUGGAAGACCGCAUCAUCAACUAAAUCCAUCUAAUAUCAACCGGAACACAUAUGUUUGCACGAAGUGAUACAGGAAUAUGAAGGCCUGCAAAGGAGUCAUGAAGCAGCUACUAAGGAGAGGAAGACGCCCGUCUGCCGUUGCUUACCAUCGCCUGUGGAUGUCGCUCUCAGCCCAUUCAUUGACCUGACCAGGCAUCCCAAAUGGCAUCUCUUUGACUAAAGCAACUGGAGGACAAUUUGAGCAGCUCUAAGGCUCCAAAAGAGCUGACAGCCUUGAAGUGUAAACUUGAGCUUGUGGAAGAGGAGAAGUAGGAGUGGAGUGACAAGUGCUCGAAGGUCAAGAAUUUGAGGUUGACAGAUAACGUGGCAGCCACCUAGCAGGAGAUGGCACAAGAACAAAAACAUCUAAUCAUCAGAACUGUUAGAACCAGGAGCACCUGUUGUCUGAAGUGGAUCUCUGUCAGCAGGCAGUCGUGGAAAUGAUGAACAGGAUCAAGACAGGAGUCCAGGUUCAGCUUGUGAGCAAGAGUCGACGUCGCAGGAAACAGGAGAGCUUUUAAGUUAUGUUUUAGGAUUUAAAAACUCAACUAUACAUCCAUCCAUUUUCUUUGCUGCUUAUCCUCACAAGGGUCGCGGGAGUGCCGAUGCCCAUCCCAACUGUCAACGGGCAGGAGGCAGGGUACACCCGGAACUGGUUGCCAGCCAAUCGCAGGGCACAUGGACACAGACAACAGUCACACGCACACCUAAAGGCAAUUUAGAGUCUCCAAUUAAUCUUGGAUGUGGGAGGAAACCGGAGUGCCCAGAGAAAAACCACACAUGCACGGGGAGAACAUGCUCCACACAGGCGUGGCCCGGAUCGAACCCAUGGUCCUCAAAACAAAGCCGUGAGUCCAAGGCUUUACUAGCUGAGCCUGAAAGGUGCCGAAUAAUAUUGCAUGCCCCACUUUUCAGUCUUUAUUCAUUAAAAAAGUAUAAAAUGUACAAGAAAUUUAGUUCCACUUCUAGAAUGUGUCCCAUUUGUUGUUGAUUCUUGACAAAAAAAUGAAAAUUUUAUCUUUAUGUUUGAAGGAUGAAAUGUGGCGAAAGAUUGAAAAGUUCAAGGGGGCCGAAUACUUUCACAAGGCACUGUAAUGAAAGUAUUCGGCCCCCUUGUUCAAGGUGAAAGUUUAGAGGGACGGCCGGGUCUUGGUAGAUUUGCAGUGGUCUGAUACUCCUUCCAUUUUAAUAUGAUUGCUUGCACAGUGCUCCUUGAGAUGUUUAAAGAUUGGGAAAUUAUUUGUAUACUAAUCCGGCUCUAAACUUCUCUAUAAAAGUAUCUCGGAACUGCCUGGUGUGUUCCUUGGUCUUCAUGAUGCUCUCUGCACUUUAAACAGAACCCUGAGACUAUCACAGAGCAGGCGCAUUUAUGCGUAGACUUGAUUACACACAGGUGGAUUCUAGAUUCUGGAUUCUAUUUAUCAUCAUCAGUCAACAUUGGAUCAUUCAGAGAUAUUCACUGAAUUUAUAGAGUGAGUUUGCUGCUGUGAAAGUAAAGGGGCCGAAUAAUAUUGUACGCCCAACUUUUCAGUGUUUUUAUCUGUUAAGUAUAAAAUAUCCAAUAAAUUUUGUUCCACUUGACAAUUGUGUCCCACUUGUUGUUGAUUCUUGACAAAAAAAAUAUAAUUUUAUAUCUUUAUGUUUGAAGCCUGAAAUGUUGAAAGCUUCAAGUGGGGAAUACUCUCACAAGGCACUGUAUAUAUACACGCACGCACGCACGCACACAUACUGUAUUUUAUGGAUGACAAGCCACUUUUUUGGGGUGCUGUGAACCUAGCAGUCUUUUUUACAGUAAUUAAUCAACUUUCACUCAUUAUAUGUGGAGCAGGAUUGUCAUUGGUGUAUUGGAUGAAUAAUGUAUGACAAGAUUUUAUUUUCAACGGACUCAGAUGUAUGAGCUACAGGAGGUCACAGAAAGGGCACAUUAACAAGUGCAAGAGAGCUGUCAAACAAAGACCAAGGUCAAUUGGCCAGUAGAAAAUUGACGGCAUGGUGCUGCAACUGGUUCAAAUCCCGGCCUAGUCUGUGUGGAAUUUGCAUGUUCUCCUCGUGCCUCUGUGGGUUUUCUCUGGGCACUCCGGUUUCCUCCCACAUCCCAAAAGCAUGCAACAUUAAGUGGACACUAAAUUGCCCUGAGGUGUGAUUGUGAGUGUGGCUGUUGUCUGUCUCCCCGUGCCCUGCGAUUGGCUGGCAACCAGUUCAGGGUGUACCCUGACUCCUGCCUGAUGACAGCUGAGAUUGGC